AUGAUGAUACUUUGUUGGAACUGCCGGGGCUUGGGCCGACCCCGGAAAGUUCAAGAAUUGGUGAGGCUUGUGCAUGCUCAGCAUCCAAAAGUUUUGUUUCUUUCUGAAACUCAUCAAAAUAAAAGGUUUGUAGAAGGUCUUAGAUGGAGGCUAGGCCUCCGUAAUGUAGUCUCCUAUAUAGAAGAAGGUAAAGGGGGUGGCCUAGCUUUGUUCUGGGAUGAAAGUGUCGAUGUUGAGCUCUUUAAGCUAGGCGAGAGAAUUAUUGAUGUAUUCAUUUGUAAUAUGCCCUCUGGAAUAAAGUGGAGAUGCACUUUUGUUUAUGGAGAGCCUCGUACACACUUGCGCCGUCUUAUGUGGGAUCUAAUGUGUAAAAUGAAAAACUUAACCUCGCCAGGACCAUGGCUGAUGUCAGGCGAUUUCAAUGAGUGUAUGUGGCAGGAAGAGCAUUAUUCUAGAACGUGUAGAAAUAAAAAAAAGUUUGAUUUUAGAGAAAUUCUAUCCCACUGUGAUCUUCAUGACUUAGGUUUCUUAGGGGCGCCGUGGACUUUUGACAAUGGCCAAGAUGGCGAUCGUAAUGUUAAAGUUAGACUUGACAGGGCGGUGGUGAACCCAGAAUGGAUGAAUAUUUUCCCAAACUAUCAGGUUACCACAUAG
rnacentral:rRNA from 1 species